rnacentral:misc_RNA from 1 species
UCCGACGCUCUUGCGCGCAUCAUUUCUGGCGUUUCCAAGCUCAACUCGUCCAUCGCACGCGUCAACGAGAUCCAGGAAGAGGUCUAUUCACGCAACCUUAACCUCUCGGUGGUGUCUGAAAUCAUGCAGAACUACCAGGCCUCGGUGGAUUACUAUUUGCGAGAAAGUGGAGCCAUGAAAGAGCCGUUCAAGAACGAUGAUUAGCAGGUUUACGUGACCGACAGUAUGGAUGGCUGCGGCUGUUUCUUUAGUCAGCAAACAUAUGAGCUGUGUGCUGUACGGGUACAGUACUGCGGACGGCUACGGGGCAACCCAGUCACGUGGUAUGUUGACUGUGAGAUGCGGUUCUGGCUA